rnacentral:lncRNA from 1 species
AAACCUGAGAAAUAGUAUUUUUCUUCUCUGGUUCUAUCAUUGAAGAGGUUGGAUUAUACUGUGUCUUUUCUCAUAUCCAAUUCAACCCCAUCUCAAUACUGAGGUAAGUUUCAGUUUACUCCUGUUUUCUUUUGUGCUCACAUGUUGUUUAAAUGUUCUAAAAUAGAAAAAAUGAGAUAACAACUGACUGGUAAGUACAUAUUAUGUUUUGUUGAAAACUAUAAUUUGUAUAUAAUGCUGAAACCUUGCUAGAUUUCAUUGCCUACAUGAGCAGUUAGUAGGAACCUGUUGUGUACUUUUGAGAACUUUUUGGAUGUAAUUCACAGCACCAGCUUAAUGCUGAUACAUGAGCAGUUAGCUGAUACUUUUUGGAUGUGACUGUUCAUGCUCAAUGUUAUCCAUGUUAUCCAUUUGUAGCCGAAACCCAUUCUUCCAAACAUAGAUAAGAUAAUUUCUUGAUGUCCAAUUCACACAAUAAUCUUGGUUCUCCUUUCCUGAAUCUCGAGUUAGACGUUUCAUUUGCUAUAAAGGAUGCAUCUAGAAUAUGUCCUUCAAUAAAAGCAUUCUGGGAUGUGGAGAUGAGCUUACCAGUUUCGACCUUCCAUCUAGCUCUUUGGAUAUUAUUUUAUAAACGUUCCCCAGUAUACUAUUGAGUGUAUAUCCUUAGCACCAUUCUUCUUUUGUAUGAGUACAAUAAAGGAAGCUUUGGAAGUUUUUCCAAGAAUCUUUUGUGUCAGAUUUAUUGCUGUAAAUGAGGGUUCUCCACUCUACUGAAAGUAUGUAUUUCUAGGCGUACCAGUUUAUAGGUUUAGUUAUUAAUGAAAGUUUAGUUUGUUAGGGGAAGUCAAAUUAAUGGUGAUUCAUAAGAAGUUAAAGAUGAGUUGUCGGAGAUUGAAAUAGGGCCUUCCUUUUGUCAUCCUCUCUUUUUUCAUAUUUGUUCUUGGAGGUUCCUAAACUAGACUGUAUUCUCUGUAUAGCUUGUUUGGUAUCGCUACUAAUUUAUCAAUAUCAUCCUUUUGUAUUCUGUUUAUUUGUGCUUGGUUCCAUAUCAAACAUAGCUUCUAUAGUAGUUGUUUUAUAUGCUAGAUAUUAAUAAGACUUGUAAAGUGUAAACUAGAUACCCCUGUAAAAAAAACUAGUGUAAGCAUGAUACUAGUCAAUAUAUGUAUUGACCCAACUGGUUCUUUUGUCUUUCUUAGAUGAUACCAUUCAUUUUUGUGCUGAGAGAAUUAUCGGCUUGUCCCCUGGGUCUGAUCUCCCUGGAAACAGAGGAAAUGCGGUAACAACAACAACAUACCCAGUAUAUUCCCAUAUUUGGGGUCUGGGGAUAGUGUGUACGCAGACCUUACCCCUACCUAGUGAAGGUAGAGACGUUGUUUCCAAUAGAAAGGUGGUAAGUUUUCUCAUAAUUGGUGCUUAACAUUGGGUUGGAAAUGUUGCAUUUGGGUUUGAUGUCUUCUUAUUGAAAAGAAAAGGUAUACAGAUCAUGCUAAUAUCAAAAGAAAAAGACUAAAUUGAUGCUUCUUUGUGGCAAGGAUAUACUAAAGGCUAAUAAACCAGUCUUGGUUUUAGAAAUUGUGCUAGUCAUCCCCUUGUCAGCUAAUCAUGUCUAAUGCGCAAGUUUUCUCUUCUAAAGAAGUGAUAAAAAUGCAUGUUACUUCCUUAAAGUUCUAUGAACACAUUAAUAUUAAGGCAUAAAGUCGUAAAACAUGGGAUUAAUACAUACUUUACUCCCCAAACUUGGACAAAAAUCCUUUACUUUUCUUUGUGUCUAUUUUCCGUAGCAAAAGCCCCACGAAAAUGCCAUGUGGCAUGUGCGUCACUGCAUCACUUACCAGCCCAAGCAAAGCGUGCAAGGGUUAAAAAUCUGUCAAAAUCCCAUUUUUUAAAAGAUUUUUCAGCUUGUUUUCUUCUUUUUAGAUGCUACCUCUUUUUUGACACUUCUUUUUUCUUUUUUUGCCUUAUUGUAUAUUCUUUUCCUUUUCUUUAUUUUCUCUUUCCUUCUUUCUUUUUCUACUCCAAUUGUUCUUAUCCUCUGAACUCUCCGAUAUACUGUUGCUCCAGUAAGCAGCCAACUAUAGGGUGCACACUUUACUGUUAGCCACAUGAGCUCAACCAUGUUGAACGCAGCAACUAGAGGUGCAUGCUCUACUGUUAGCCACAUGAACUCAACCACGGUCCAGUUAAGCAGAAGCUCUCUUGGUCACUUGAUUGCCGAUAUUUCUCAGAGGGAAGUUAGGAAGAAGGAACGAGAAAGCAGGGAAAAGAUACAAAAGAUAAGGAUAAUGAAAUAGAUCCUUUGUUUCUCAUGCAUAUUUUGCAUUCUUUUUGGUUUUAAAUCUGUUAAUGGGAAAAUGGGUUUGUUACCGGCAAAGUUUGUCGAGCAAAAGUGAAGGUAGAAGGCCCACAGGGUUAUGGGAAUGAAAAUAGAGAAAGAUUUCUACAGAGACUGCCAAGAUUUGGUCCAGCCAGAAUUUCAACCAAGAAAAUGACAAUGGGAAAAGGGGUUUUCGCCGGUAAAUUUGGCUUGGAAAAAUGGUUGAAAGCUAGCAAGGAUGGACCUUUUUUCAUUUUUUUCCCAUGACGUGUCAUGAGUGGUGCGUAUCAUGUGCUUCCAAGAGGGAGUGGUCGUAUGUCAUCCAGGAGGGUCUUAGACAUGGAUUUUGCAGAAUUAAGAAGGAUGCCACGAAGAAAAGGUGUGUAAAUGGGAUUUCUGUGCAAGUUGGAGGACUAAGAGCCCAUUUGGAUUGGUUUUAAAAAAGUGGCUUUUAAGUAUAAGUGCUUAAAAGUACUUUUAAGUGCUGGAGUUUGUUUUAUAAAUAAGCAGUUAAGUGUUUGGAUAAAAGUGCUGAAACUUAAAAAAAGUUGUUGAAGUGUUUGGUAAAUAAGUGCUGGUAAGCACUUGUUUCUGUUAAAAUGACUGAAAUAUCCUUAAAGUUGUUAACACUAUAAAGAAAAUAAUUACGAUAAUAUUUUAUUCUAAAUUAAUACAUAUACAAAAAAAUUAUAAUUUAGUUCAUUUUCAAUUUAAAACUGAUUGCCUAAAUAUAAAUUAUUUAUUUAAAUAACAUGCAAUAAUCUAUUAUUUCACCAAAAAAUAUUUUUUCGGCUCAUAGCUUCAAAUUCUUUGUUAAUAGAUAGACUCAUUGAAAAUUUUGAUUUAGAAUAUAGUUUCUCCAAUUUAAAAAAAUGAGGGAUUCAACAGCAAUUUUUUUUUAAAAAAAAUGUUAUGGAACCAAAAAAGAAACUAAAACAAAAUAAUGUAUAUAAAAUAUUAAAUGCAUCAAACAUUUACAAAGCUACAGUUGGCUUUACGUUUACAACUUCAAACAAAUUGAUAAAAUUUUGGGGAAUGGCAGCAGAGAUGACACGGGAUUUAUUAAUUAGUAAGGGAAGGAUAGUUUUGGAUUUAGAAAAAGUAAAAGGGAUAAUAACUCUACAAAGAACAAAACACUAUUUUUCACUCUCAUGAAUCCAAAACCAAAAGAGUUCGGCAGUGAUGGAAUUUGGAAGGCACACAUUGGAAAUGACAAAGGAAAGGAGAAAAAGAAAAGAUUAUGGAAUUUGGAAGGCAGAGAUUGAAAAUGGCGGAGGAAAGGAGAAAAAGAAAAGAUUGGGGUAUUUUGAAAAUUAUACAUAAGUAUCAGGGAUAGCAAUAUAAAAUACUUGGUCAAAGAGGGAUGACUUUUAAGCUAGAAAAAAAAAGUUGGGAUUACCCAACUUAUCACUUUUGGCUUAAUUUGGAUCUUUUGGCUUAAAAGCAUUUGACCUUUAAGCAGAUUUUAAGUUUGCCAAACACCUCAAUAAGCUAAAAAAUGACUUAAAAGCUGGUUUGACCAGCUUUUAAGCCCAUCCAAACAGGCUCUAAUUUAUGCAUUAAGCCUAACUUGAUUUUCUUGUGGGAAACUAGGACUUUACCUUACCAAUGAAAGAAAAAAAAUCUUGAAUUUUCAUUUAGUAAGGCUUAAAUAAUUGGAAUAUUUUUCUCUUUAAAUAUUUAAGUGAGAUAAGAUGAUGAUUAUUUUAUUUUAUUAUUAAAUGUUGUAUCAUUCAUACUUUUGAGUCUGUAUAAAAAUGGUAUGAAAGGAAAUUAUUUUUCCUCCUUUUUCUGUGUGGUCGGCGGAGAUCAGCAUAAACCCAAAAGUAUGAAGAUGUAGAAGCCCACACAGAAAUGCUAGAUAUUUUGGAAAUAAAAGUUAAUUAUUUAUUUUUUUCGUUUUUGGAUAACUGCAAUAUAGAGGGAACAUUAUGACCAAUCGAUGUUUCAUGUGUCAGAAAAAGACAAUAAAUAUCUUUUCUGCAUUGUACAGUGGACAAAAGUGUUGGAGAACUACACCAUACUCAAAUUCGAGUUCAAAUUGAAAGCGAAAUGGUAGAUGCCCUGAGGAUGAAUCUGAAGCCAUUCAGUGAGAUGCAUUGUCGGAGAUGUCUCUCUUCCUUCUUUUUCCCUUCGUCUUUGGUGCAUGAGAGUCUAUGUUACUCAGAUGCGAGUACUCAAUACGAGUGCGGAUAGAGGUUGGAUUCUUCAUCACACAAGUUUUUGGAUUUGGGGUUAUGGAUCUGAGUACAAAUACAGGUGGGAUACUGUCAAUAAAUGUACAUUGAAGCAUAUAUAAGUAUAUAAAAUGAUUAGUAAACCUUAUUGAGCUAAAACUAAUAAAAUAUAAUUCUUAAGAAAUACAUAAUUUUUUAUUCAUAAGAUUUCUCGUGUAAUAGUUAUGCGUUCUCAUACUUUAUAUAACUAUCUACAUAUGAUAUAAACCCAAAACUCAAACCAAGUAGAUGUAGUCAAAGCAUCCAAGGUAAGUUGACCAAAUCCAAUGUGGACCCCUCCUCCUCCACUCACACUCAAAUCAUGUCGGAUCGACAUGGGUGCGGAAGGGAUUUGAAGGGCCCGAGCAACAUAUGUGAGAAUGGAGAGUAACAGGAAUUUUUGAGGGCCCUUCCUAGGAGCUUCUUUGGAGGGUUUGUAGGCUUUUCUUAACGUUAGCUUUAACAUAACUACAAUGGGAUUAGACUAGAGAGCCUCUAUGGUUCUAUUUCCUUCUUAAUUCUCUUAUAUGUUAAUCUGGGAACAUAUUUUUUUGUUUGUUGGUAAUGCGGGGAUGUAUUGUCUUACCUUAUCGCAUCUCUCUUUUCCAUAUCUAUCAAUAAAAUCUUUCCUCCAAGAACUAGCACUGUAAUCUGUUGUUAGUAAGGCUCCAAGUUAAUAAAUCAGCUAAAACCAUAAUAGUAUUAUGCUUUUGAUUUUUCAAUUGGCUUUUCAACUUCUAUUAACUCUACUGUUGUGUGGGCCUGACUUAGCUUAUUCUCUUGUUUUUGGUGAAACUCUUGUUUUUGGUGAACUAUAAUGUCAAGCGCUUAUCCAGGAGCACACCCAUGAUUUUUUCUGGAGCUCAAUACUUGCUUGAUUGUGGAGACCUGGAGAAAUAUCAAGUAUCACUGUAAGUGGUGGAUCUUGAGGAAUUUCUACAACAAUGUGAGUGUCAAGGUAACAGCAAAUUUCCUACCUUAUUUUAUUUUUAAGCUAUGAAUGAAGCUAUAUUGGCUGUUGAUGCUACAUUUUCUUAUUCCAGUUUUCAUGGACCAGAUAUAUCAUAAUAUCACCACGAGACGGCAGGGCCAAGAUAUUUUACAGUGUCAUGGUCCAAGCAUGAAGUUGUUGAAGUCAUUCAUUCAGAGUCCUAGGUUUUAGCUCAAUCUUCACAAAAUGAACUGAGCAAGAGGGAGAACUGACCAAGAGGGAGGUUAAGGGGACUCUGUCCUGAAGACUGAGGGGGCUAACAUGAAGUAGUGGUCUCUUUUUUAUAUUAGUUAUACAAAGAUUAUCGAGGACCACAGUUCAAAUUUCAGUGUAUUCAAAAAGCACUAGGUGAUUUCUUCCCAACUAUCUUAACCUUGUUGGAUAGAGUUAAACGAGUACGGCCAGAGAUAGCAGGAAUUCAGUGGUUAGUCGAGGACACCAGCUAUCAAGAAAAGUUGCAGUGAGAUAUUGUUGGAAAAUUCCCUAGUAUAAUAAUUACGAUUUCAAUUUGGAUUUUUGGCCUAUUUCUAUAACGUCAUUUUUUUCUAAACUCAAGGUAUUAUGCUUAUGAGGAUCUGAUUCAUCAAUGUACUUUUAAAAAAAAGAAGCACGAAUCUGAUUUAUCAAUGUAAUUGCUUUGGUAUGGCUAAUAUUUAGUUGGCCGAGUGUGUUAGCUUCUGAUUUGAGGCUAUGCCAACGUUUUCAUUUGUUCUUCUAGACAUCACUGUAUGUUAUCAAGGGGAACAAGGAUGGAUUGGGGUUUUGGGUAAACAGGUGAAGGGGGAAAGAAGUAGAUUCUUUGCAUUGGACAGUUAGAAGCUGUAAACUGAUAUGGAAUCAGUUGUGACCUAGUUUGAUCCGAGUUUCUGUUUUGCAUCUACUCGUUUUAUGUUUACCAAUUUCUUGGUUUGUGAAUCAUUCAGAGUCAGAACCCUCUAUAUUGUACUGUUCUUUCUGGAUUAAGUUUUCCUGUUAUUAAUAUUGAAG